GAACCCGGGAGUCGGGCGCCUGCAGUCCCAGCUACUCGGGAGGCUGAGGCAGGAAAAUGGUGUGAACCCGAAAGGCGGAGCUUGCAGUGAGCCAAGAUCGCGCCACUGCACUCCAGCCUGGGCGACACAGCGAGACUCUGUCUCAAAAAAAAAAAAACAAACUACCAUUAGAAGCAGUAAGUAGUGGUUUAUUUGUAUUAUCAUUUUGAUCUAGAAUCUGUAGGACUAAAAUACAUUCUCCAGCUGUUAGUGGUUUUCUGAAUAGUUUCCUAUAAUCAUUAAAAAUCUAAUAUCCAAAAUAUUUCCUACAUUCUAUAGAGCACUUAAAUACUAAUGUUCUUGUGAUGGAAAACACUAGCAGAAUGAGCACUGUUUGACUGAUCUGGGUACAGUAUUUAUUAGUUCCAGUUAAUAAUCCUUCACAACAAAUGCUUUCUAAGUUCCGAUCCAUGUCACAGUCAUUCUCUGUUGUUACAGAAACCCUGCAUUACAGGACAAGAGGAAAGAAGAAAAACUAAGUUGUAGCUCUACUCCUCAAAGUUCUUUUGUGCUAAAAAUCUGAAACUAAUGGCCUCUUUGUUACUGAAUUCCACAUACACUUUUCCGCCUUCAGCUAACUGGACCUCUCUGCAGCAUCUGACACUGCUGACCACUUUCUCUUUCUUGAAAAUCUCUCCUUUCUGACCAGUCAGUGAGUUCUUUUCUCUUGACCCCCUUGCUUCCAUGCCAAUAUACUCCAAGGUUCGUUUAAUCUUACUUUACAGGGGUG
rnacentral:lncRNA from 1 species